AGUCAUAUGCUUGUCUCAAAGAUUAAGCCAUGCAUGUCUAAGUACGGCUCUAGUACGGUGAAACUGCGAAUGGCUCAUUAAAUCAGUUUUGGUUCAUUUGAUCGUAAACAUUUACAUGGAUAACUGUUGUAAUUCAAGAGCUAAUACACGCUAAAAGUGGGUGUUUUUAAUACCCAUGCUUUUAUCAGAUCAAAACCUUUCGUCUUCGGGCGUUAUCGUUGUGGCGAGUCUGGAUAAUUUUAGCUGAUCGCAUGGUCUUGAACCGGCGAUGGAUCAUUCAAGUGUCUGACCUAUCAACUUUCGAUGGUAGCGUAUUGGUCUACCAUGGUUGUAACGGGUAACGGAGAAUUAGGGUUUGGUUCCGGAGAGGGAGCCUGAGAAACGGCUACCACAUCCAAGGAAGGCAGCAGGCGCGCAAAUUACCCAUUCCCGACACGGGGAGGUAGUGACGAAAAAUAACAAUUCAAGACUCGAAACGAGGCCUUGAAGUUGGAAUGAGUACACUUUAAAACUUUUAACGAGUAUCUAUUGGAGGGCAAGUCUGGUGCCAGCAGCCGCGGUAAUUCCAGCUCCAAUAGCGUAUACUAAAGUUGUUGCGGUUAAAAAGCUCGUAGUUGGAUCUUGGAGUGUGAGCGUAUGGUCGAUCGAAAGGUUGUACUGUUCGUCACACUCUUCUGUUCGGUUGCGUGUGCAGUGCCCUUAACUGAGUGCUGUACUCGACCGAAAAUUUUACCUUGAAAAAAUUAGAGUGUUCAAAGCAGACCUGAUUGUGUCUGAAUAUUCGUGCAUGGAAUAAUAAAAUAAGAAUUUGGUUCUAUUUUAUUGGUUUUCGGAACUCGAGUUAAUGAUUAAGAGGGACAGACGGGGGCAUCCGUACUCUGCCGUUAGAGGUGAAAUUCUUGGAUCGGCGGAAGACGUGCAACUGCGAAAGCAUUUGCCAAGAAUGUUUUCUUUAAUCAAGAACGAUAGUCGGAGGUUCGAAGACGAUCAGAUACCGUCCUAGUUUCGACUGUAAACUAUGCCAGCUAAAGAUCAGACAGCGUUCUCUACGACUUGUCUGGCAUUUUCCGGGAAACCAAAGCUUUUGGGUUCCGGGGGAAGUAUGGUUGCAAAGCUGAAACUUAAAGGAAUUGACGGAAGGGCACCACCAGGAGUGGAGCCUGCGGCUUAAUUUGACUCAACACGGGGAAACUCACCCGGCCCGGACACAGUGAGGAUUGACAGAUUGAGAGUUCUUUCUUGAUUCUGUGGGUGGUGGUGCAUGGCCGUUCUUAGUUGGUGGAGCGAUUUGUCUGGUUAAUUCCGAUAACGAACGAGACUCUGGCAUGUUAAAUAGUCGCGGGAGUUAUUAUUACUCGCCUUGAUGACUUCUUAGAGGGACAAGUGAUUCUAAUCACACGAGAUUGAGCAAUAACAGGUCUGUGAUGCCCUUAGAUGUUCGGGGCCGCACGCGCGCUACAAUGAGUCGAUCAACGAGCGUUCUUUUUUCCAAGUCCGAAAGGUCGAGGUAAUCCGUUGAACCCGACUCGUGCUAGGGAUAGGGAAUUGUAAUUGUUUCCCUUGAACGAGGAAUUCCCAGUAAGCGCAAGUCAUCAGCUUGCGUUGAUUACGUCCCUGCCCUUUGUACACACCGCCCGUCGCUACUACCGAUUGAAUGGUUCAGUGAGAUAAUCGGACAGAAAACUUGGCAACUGGCAACAGUUGACGUGCAUUUUUGGAAGACGAUCAAACUUGGUCAUUUAGAGGAAGUAAAAGUCGUAACAAGGUUUCCGU
rnacentral:rRNA from 1 species